AGAGUUUGAUCAUGGCUCAGGACGAACGCUGGCGGCACGCUUAACACAUGCAAGUCGAACGAGAGAAGAGGAGCUUGCUUUUCUGAUCUAGUGGCGGACGGGUGAGUAACACGUGAGCAAUCUGCCUUUCAGAGGGGGAUACCGAUUGGAAACGAUCGUUAAUACCGCAUAACAUAAUUGAACCGCAUGAUUUGAUUAUCAAAGAUUUAUCGCUGAAAGAUGAGCUCGCGUCUGAUUAGCUAGUUGGUAAGGUAACGGCUUACCAAGGCGACGAUCAGUAGCCGGACUGAGAGGUUGAUCGGCCACAUUGGGACUGAGACACGGCCCAGACUCCUACGGGAGGCAGCAGUGGGGAAUAUUGCACAAUGGAGGAAACUCUGAUGCAGCGAUGCCGCGUGAGGGAAGAAGGUUUUAGGAUUGUAAACCUCUGUCUUCAGGGACGAAAAAAGACGGUACCUGAGGAGGAAGCUCCGGCUAACUACGUGCCAGCAGCCGCGGUAAUACGUAGGGAGCGAGCGUUGUCCGGAAUUACUGGGUGUAAAGGGAGCGUAGGCGGGAUCGCAAGUCAGAUGUGAAAACUAUGGGCUUAACCCAUAAACUGCAUUUGAAACUGUGGUUCUUGAGUGAAGUAGAGGUAAGCGGAAUUCCUAGUGUAGCGGUGAAAUGCGUAGAUAUUAGGAGGAACAUCAGUGGCGAAGGCGGCUUACUGGGCUUUAACUGACGCUGAGGCUCGAAAGCGUGGGGAGCAAACAGGAUUAGAUACCCUGGUAGUCCACGCCGUAAACGAUGAUUACUAGGUGUGGGGGGACUGACCCCUUCCGUGCCGCAGCAAACGCAAUAAGUAAUCCACCUGGGGAGUACGACCGCAAGGUUGAAACUCAAAGGAAUUGACGGGGGCCCGCACAAGCAGUGGAGUAUGUGGAUUAAUUCGAAGCAACGCGAAGAACCUUACCAGGUCUUGACAUCGUAUGCAUAGCUCAGAGAUGAGUGAAAUCUCUUCGGAGACAUAUAGACAGGUGGUGCAUGGUUGUCGUCAGCUCGUGUCGUGAGAUGUUGGGUUAAGUCCCGCAACGAGCGCAACCCUUACUGUUAGUUGCUACGCAAGAGCACUCUAGCAGGACUGCCGUUGACAAAACGGAGGAAGGUGGGGAUGACGUCAAAUCAUCAUGCCCCUUAUGACCUGGGCCUCACACGUACUACAAUGGCUGUCAACAGAGGGAAGCAAAGCCGCGAGGUGGAGCGAACCCCUAAAAGCAGUCUUAGUUCGGAUUGUAGGCUGCAACCCGCCUACAUGAAGUCGGAAUUGCUAGUAAUCGCAGAUCAGCAUGCUGCGGUGAAUACGUUCCCGAGCCUUGUACACACCGCCCGUCACGCCAUGGGAGUCGGUAACACCCGAAGCCUGUAGUCUAACCGCAAGGAGGACGCAGUCGAAGGUGGGAUUGAUGACUGGGGUGAAGUCGUAACAAGGUA
rnacentral:rRNA from 1 species